AGGCCUAACACAUACAAGUCGAGCGGCAUCGGAAAGUAGCUUGCUACUUGGCCGACGAGCGGCGGACGGGUGAGUAAUGUCUGGGAAACUGCCUGAUGGAGGGGGAUAACUACUGGAAACGGUAGCUAAUACCGCAUAACGUCGCAAGACCAAAGAGGGGGACCUUCGGGCCUCUUGCCAUCAGAUGUGCCCAGAUGGGAUUAGCUAGUAGGUGGGGUAACGGCUCACCUAGGCGACGAUCCCUAGCUGGUCUGAGAGGAUGACCAGCCACUCUGGAUCUGACACACUGUCCAC
rnacentral:rRNA from 1 species